rnacentral:rRNA from 1 species
UGGGGAAUUUUGGACAAUGGGCGCAAGCCUGAUCCAGCCAUGCCGCGUGAGUGAUGAAGGCCCCAGGGUUGUAAAGCCCUUUCACCGGUGAAGAUAAUGACGGUAACCGGAGAAGAAGCCCCGGCUAACUUCGUGCCAGCAGCCGCGGUAAUACGAAGGGGGCUAGCGUUGUUCGGAUUUACUGGGCGUAAAGCGCACGUAGGCGGACUUUUAAGUCAGGGGUGAAAUCCCGGGGCUCAACCCCGGAACUGCCUUUGAUACUGGAAGGCUUGAGUAGGGUAGAGGUGAGUGGAAUUCCGAGGGUAGAGGUGAAAUUCGUAGAUAUUCGGAGGAACACCAGUGGCGAAGGCGGCUCACUGGACCAUUACUGACGCUGAGGUGCGAAAGCGUGGGGAGCAAACAGG